GCAACAGCUCAGAUUUGGAAUCUGGCCCCCCCCGGGGGCCCGAGUUGUAAUCUGGAGAGGAUGCUUCUGGCGCGGCGCCCGGCGAGUUCCCUGGAACGGGACGCCGGAGAGGGUGAGAGCCCCGUACUCCGGGCCGCCUAGCCUCUGCGAAGCUCCUUCGACAAGUCGAGUAGUUUGGGAAUGCUGCUCUAAACGGGAGGUAAAUUUCUUCUAAAGCUAAAUACCGGCCAGAGACCGAUAGCGCACAAGUAGAGUGAUCGAAAGAUGAAAAGCACUUUGAAAAGAGGGUCAAACAGUACGUGAAAUUGUUGAAAGGGAAGCGCCCGUGGCCAGACUUGCGCCCCGCGGCUCACCCGGCGGACCCCGCCGGGGCACGCCGCGGGGCGCAGGCCAGCAUCGGCUUCCCCAGGGGGACAAGGACGGCGGGAACGUGGCUCCUCCGGGAGUGUUAUAGCCCGCCGCGCCAUGCCCCUGGGGGGGCCGAGGACCGCGCUUCGG
rnacentral:rRNA from 2 species